AUUGAACGCUGGCGGCAGGCCUAACACAUGCAAGUCGAACGAGUGGCGGACGGGUGAGUAAUGUCUGGGAAACUGACCGAUGGAGGGGGAUAACUACUGGAAACGGUAGCUAAUACCGCAUACCAUCGGAUGUGCCCAGAUGGGAUUAGCUAGUAGGUGGGGUAAAGGCGAACCUAGGCGACGAUCCCUAGCUGGUCUGAGAGGAUGACCAGCCACCCUGGAGCUGAUCCACGGUCCAGACUCCUACGUGAGGCAGCAGUGGGGAAUAUUGCACAAUUGGCGCAAGCCUUAUGCAGCCAUGCCGCGUGUAUGAAGAAGGCCUUCGGGUUGUAAAGUACUUUCAGCGGUGAGGCGUUACCCGCAGAAGAAGCACCGGCUAACUCCGUGCCAGCAGCCGCGGUAAUAC
rnacentral:rRNA from 1 species